rnacentral:rRNA from 1 species
CGUAACGAUUUGGGCACUGUCUCAACGAGAGACUCGGUGAAAUCAUAGUACCUGUGAAGAUGCAGGUUACCCGCGACAGGACGGAAAGACCCCGUGGAGCUUUACUGUAGCCUGAUAUUGAAAUUCGGCACAGCUUGUACAGGAUAGGUAGGAGCCUUUGAAACGUGAGCGCUAGCUUACGUGGAGGCGCUGGUGGGAUACUACCCUAGCUGUGUUGGCUUUCUAACCCGCACCACUUAUCGUGGUGGGAGACAGUGUCAGGCGGGCAGUUUGACUGGGGCGGUCGCCUCCUAAAAGGUAACGGAGGCGCUCAAAGGUUCCCUCAGAAUGGUUGG